ACUCAAAUGAAUUGACGGGGGCCCGCACAAGCAGCGGAGCGUGUGGUUUAAUUCGAUGCAACGCGAAGAACCUUACCAGGGCUUGACAUGGCGCUUACAGCGGGUGAAAGCCCGCGGCCGCGAGGCGUGCGUCACAGGUGCUGCAUGGCUGUCGUCAGCUCGUGCCGUGAGGUGUUGGGUUAAGUCCCGCAACGAGCGCAACCCCCGGGUCUAGUUAAGUUCCUAGACCGACGGCCGGGACCAACCCGGAGGAAGGUGGGGACGACGUCAAGUCAGCACGGCCCCUACGUCCUGGGCCACACACACGCUACAAUGGCCGGUACAGCGGGCGUUGCGAAGCCGCGAGGCGGAGCGAAUCCCUGCAAAGCCGGCCGUAGUGCAGAUCGGGGGCUGCAACCCGCCCCCGUGAAGUCGGAGUUGCUAGUAACCGCGGGUCAGCACACCGCGGUGAAUACGUUCCCGGGCCUUGUACACACCGCCCGU
rnacentral:rRNA from 1 species